rnacentral:rRNA from 1 species
UACGAAGGGGGCUAGCGUUGCUCGGAAUCACUGGGCGUAAAGGGUGCGUAGGCGGGGCUUUAAGUCAGGGGUGAAAUCCUGGAGCUCAACUCCAGAACUGCCUUUGAUACUGAGGAUCUUGAGUUCGGGAGAGGUGAGUGGAACUGCGGGUGUAGAGGUGAAAUUCGUAGAUAUUCGCAAGAACACCAGUGGCGAAGGCGGCUCACUGGCCCGAUACUGACGCUGAGGCACGAAAGCGUGGGGAGCAAACAGG